CAAAUGAAACAUUUCGGUCCGUGUUUUGAGUUUAAUUAUAUAGCUCAUUAAAUACCUUGUGGGUAUUUAAGAUAUUGAGCCGAUAAAUUUUAGCUUUUUUUGGUAAAUAGUACGAUUGCAAACUCCAAGACAUGAAGCAAGUUACGGUUCUGUUCGCUAUUUUAAUUUUUUUAAAUGCUUUCUCGGUUGACUUGAAGGAAAAAAGAUCAGAAGAUGUAUCCAAUGCGGUGAAAUUAGAAGGGCCUCCAUAUGCAGAACCUACCCCAAAAUUCCGUAUACGGAGAACCGUACCGCCAAAAGAACCUUUACCUCCUGGCCAAAGGAAGUGAUAACAGGAUUCUUUUGCCUCGUUGAGAUGUACGACAAGACAACUUUAUAAU